rnacentral:rRNA from 1 species
CCUACGGGAGGCAGCAGUGGGGAAUCUUGCGCAAUGGGCGAAAGCCUGACGCAGCAACGCCGCGUGCGGGAUGAAGGCCUUCGGGUUGUAAACCGCUUUCAGCAGGGAAGAAAUUGACGGUACCUGCAGAAGAAGCCCCGGCCAACUACGUGCCAGCAGUCGCGGUAACACGUAGGGGGCGAGCGUUGUCCGGAUUUAUUGGGCGUAAAGAGCUCGUAGGCGGUUCGGUAAGUCGGGUGUGAAACCUCCAGGCUCAACCUGGAGACGCCACCUGAUACUGCUGUGACUAGAGUCCGGUAGGGGAGUGUGGAACUCCUGGUGUAGCGGUGAAAUGCGCAGAUAUCAGGAAGAACACCAGCGGCGAAGGCGGCACUCUGGGCCGGUACUGACGCUGAGGAGCGAAAGCGUGGGUAGCAAACAGGAUUAGAUACCCUGGUAGUCCACGCCGUAAACGUUGGGCACUAGGUGUGGGUCUCAACCAACGAGAUCCGUGCCGCAGCUAACGCAUUAAGUGCCCCGCCUGGGGAGUACGGCCGCAAGGCUAAAACUCAAAGGAAUUGACGG